AGUGAACGCUGGCGGUAGGCCUAACACAUGCAAGUCGAACGGCAGCACAGUAAGAGCUUGCUCUUACGGGUGGCGAGAGGCGGACGUGUGAGGAAUACAUCGGAAUCUACUUUUUCGUGGGGGGUAACGUAGGGAAACUUACGCUAAUACCGCAUACGACCUACGGGUGAAAGCAUGGGAUCUUCGGUCCUUGCGCGAUUGAAUGAGCCGAUGUCGGAUUAGCUAGUUGGCGGGGUAAAGGCCCACCAAGGCGACGAUCCGUAGCUGGUCUGAGAGGAGGGUAAGCCGCACUAGAACUGAGACACGGUCCAGACUCCUACGGGAGGCAGCAGUGGGGAAUAUUGGACAAUGGGCGCAAGCCUGAUCCAGCCAUCCAGCGUGGGUGAAGAAGGCCUUCGGGUUGUAAAGCCCUUUUGUUGGGAAAGAAAAGCAGCCGGUUAAUACCACGCUGUUCUGACGGUACCCAAAGAAUAAGCACCGGCUAACUUCGUG
rnacentral:rRNA from 1 species